UGGCAUGGCAGUGUUACAGGAGCAGAGUCUGAAGAGAGUGUGGUUUUCGCAGCGCCUCCAUGUUGCCCACCUCCCUGGCCUCACUGGGGCUCUGCCAAGUGAACUCCAGGCAUCAGAUUCCAAAUUUUCAGGUAUGUCUGUGUAUCAUGUGUGUGCUGAUGCCAUGGAGCCAGAAGAGGACGUCGGAUCCCCUGGGGCUGGAGUUAUG
rnacentral:lncRNA from 1 species